GACGAACGCUGGCGGCGUGCUUAACACAUGCAAGUCGAACGGAAAGGCCCUGCUUUUGUGGGGUGCUCGAGUGGCGAACGGGUGAGUAACACGUGAGUAACCUGCCCUUGACUUUGGGAUAACUUCAGGAAACUGGGGCUAAUACCGGAUAGGAUCUCCUGCUGCAUGGUGGGGGUUGGAAAGUUUCGGCGGUUGGGGAUGGACUCGCGGCUUAUCAGCUUGUUGGUGGGGUAGUGGCUUACCAAGGCUUUGACGGGUAGCCGGCCUGAGAGGGUUACCGGCGACAUUGGGACUGAGGUACGGCACAGAAGCCAACGGGAGGCAGCAGUGGGGAAUAUUGCACAAUGGGGGGAAGGCUGAUGCAGAAACGCCGCGUGCGGGAUGACGGCCUUCGGGUUGUAAACAGAUUUCGACUGUGACGAAGCGUGAGUGACGGUAAUGGGUAAAGAAGCACCGGCUAACUACGUG
rnacentral:rRNA from 1 species